UCUCUCGUCUCCGGUCUCUAGCUCACUUCUCUCUCGGUCUCGUACUCACAUCUCAGAUUUAAGCUCGUUGUUGCCAUUUGUGUCGUCACCAUCACGCACUCAGUCGCCGCCUUCACUGCGCUCACUGCGCUCACCUCGGGUAGUGGUGGUCUUCGUCUUCUUGUUUCGGCCAGUAGUUCAGUUGGUCAGCUUUCUUCACCAUCGGUCCCAGGACGAGCAACCGGAGGUGCAAUGACCUGGAGUGUGGGUGUCAACUGAGAGAGGUGCAACAGAUAGUCCAAUAAGAGUAUAGCGAUGUUUCUGCAUACCGAUUAUCUCUAUCAGAGGUUACGAAAGCUCUCAAUUAGCUGGU